rnacentral:lncRNA from 1 species
UUAGAAAAUGUACGUAGAAAUUCUAACUACCCGUCGUAAUAGGUAAAAAAAAAAAUAGAAUCAUCCAAGAUUAAGCCUCAGUUUAGAAUCACCGAGAUACAAAAUCGAAAAUUAAAAUAUGUGCAUGGGGGUUUAUACCUAACGUGACUUUCUUUUACCUUGAUUAUUGCCCAGUAUGAAAUGAUGAUUAAAUUAAAGUAAUUAAAAACCCCUUUACAUUCUGAUGCAAAGCAAGGAACAAUUAUUAAGAAAUGACUUAAGAAUGUCAAAUAAGUAGCAAAAGUGUAAAGAAUUAAGAAUGCUCUCGUCUCAAAAUACGAACAUUGUCCAUAAACAACUGUACCCUCCGAAACAAAGGAGCUUCCAUUCCAUCUUUGGCCUUUUGAGCACGAUCUCUCAAAUCCGCGAUGUUACCAAACUCAACUUCUAGCUCAUGACGUUCAGUGGUAUCGUAAACUGGGUCAUUUUGAGUAGUUUUAGUCAAAUCAAUUUUAAUUUCCUGAUGCACAUAGCCAACGCGAUCUUUAAGUCGUGUCAAACUUGGUUGUUGAUUACCUGAAGGCAUUGAAACAGGUAAUUCGUCGCUGAUGGAAAUUCGUAUAUCAAAAGCAUCAUUAGGGCAAUAUAAAAAUAAAUCAGCAACUCUUCGCUUUUUCACACAGGCCAAAACUUGAUUGUCACUUUGAUUUUUUGAGACGCGUAUUUUAUCUCGUGAGUUAUCUUCAGUUUCAUAGAACAAAUCUACUUGCUUUGUAUGCUUAUAGGCAAAAGGAAGCCGUCCAGGUUUUUGUGAAUCACGAAAUGCCUGAUUAAGAAACUCAUUCAAAUAUUUAUGCUCGGAAGCGGUCAUAUCACUUUCAAACCGAGUACGAAGAUUAAAUUCCGGGUUUAAAAUAGUUUCAUUCAUCACCGGAAACUCAAAUCGAUUUUGAGUUUCCAAGUCAAUUAAUGUACCAAGUUUCGCCUCAAUCUAAAAUAAGAAAAAAUCAGUUAGUAGAACGUAUGACUAAAAACAUUUACCAACCUCCACAUGUUCAACAGGUUCAGUUAUCAAAUAAUGUGUAAGAAAGUUUGAAAUAACUUUAGUCGUAUCUGGAACAAUCGGUUUAUUUAAGAAGUUCAUUUCUAUCUUUGGUACAGCUACGGAUUUUGUCCUUUUUCUUUCGACUUUAUCGUGUUCCACAGCAUUUUCAUCUAUCUUUCUUUUUUCAAUAGAAGGCAGUUCGUUUUCUUCAUGUAAUAAACCUUUAAGGUCCAUUCGUGAUGAAUUCGUACUUUUCUUAGUUAAUAUGGUUAGUAGGUGUACUCACUUAACGUGUACAUCCACGUUGCUAAGUUUGUCCCAAAACUGAAGUCAACUAAAUUGUUCAAUAGCAUUACUUUUAAUUAUACAUUUCUUCUUGUAAACAUAUUAAUUGAUUCUGACACUGUCACUUUCGGUAGUUCCUUUUUGCCGUUUAGUACUUAGUAUACCGACAGGUUGUUUAACAUAUGCAAAAAGGAUAUAUUAAAAAUGGGAUUUGUUGAAUAAAAUAGUUUGAUGUGAAA